CUCACCGUGAUGAAUUGGAAAUAGAAUGAACGGAAUGUACACGGACCCGCCUGGGAAAGAAUGGCAAAUACAGAAGUCUCCAGGAGGUUCGACAGUGUACAAGGGUUGUUCCGUGUGUAGCGGCCCACUUGGAUUAAUGACACAAGAUGCAGAGAGCUUCGACUGGUGCAACUUUAAUUCCCUCCCUCCUUUUCUCCUCACAAUUUUGACA